GUACACUCCUGCGGGAGGCAGCAGUGGGGAAUUUUGGACAAUGGGCGAAAGCCUGAUCCAGCAAUGCCGCGUGAGUGAAGAAGGCCUUCGGGUUGUAAAGCUCUUUUGUCAGGGAAGAAACAGUGAAAGCUAAUAUCUUUUGCUAAUGACGGUACCUGAAGAAUAAGCACCGGCUAACUACGUGCCAGCAGCCGCGGUAAUACGUAGGGUGCAAGCGUUAAUCGGAAUUACUGGGCGUAAAGCGUGCGCAGGCGGUUUUGUAAGUCUGAUGUGAAAUCCCCGGGCUCAACCUGGGAAUUGCAUUGGAGACUGCAAGGCUAGAAUCUGGCAGAGGGGGGUAGAAUUCCACGUGUAGCAGUGAAAUGCGUAGAUAUGUGGAGGAACACCGAUGGCGAAGGCAGCCCCCUGGGUCAAGAUUGACGCUCAUGCACGAAAGCGUGGGGAGCAAACAGGAUUAGAAACCCGUGUAGUCCCAUGAU
rnacentral:rRNA from 1 species